UACGGAGGGAGCUAGCGUUAUUCGGAAUUACUGGGCGUAAAGCGCACGUAGGCGGCUUUGUAAGUUAGAGGUGAAAGCCCGGAGCUCAACUCCGGAACUGCCUUUAAGACUGCAUCGCUUGAAUCCAGGAGAGGUGAGUGGAAUUCCGAGUGUAGAGGUGAAAUUCGUAGAUAUUCGGAAGAACACCAGUGGCGAAGGCGGCUCACUGGACUGGUAUUGA
rnacentral:rRNA from 1 species